rnacentral:rRNA from 1 species
UACAGAGGUCUCAAGCGUUGUUCGGAUUCAUUGGGCGUAAAGGGUGCGUAGGCGGCGCGGUAAGUCGGGUGUGAAAUCUCGGAGCUUAACUCUGAAACUGCAUUCGAUACUGCCGUGCUUGAGGACUGGAGAGGAGACUGGAAUUUACGGUGUAGCGGUGAAAUGCGUAGAUAUCGUAAGGAAGACCAGUGGCGAAGGCGGGUCUCUGGACAGUUCCUGACACUGAGACACGAAGGCCAGGGGAGCAAACGGG